UACGUAGGGGGCUAGCGUUGUCCGGAAUCAUUGGGCGUAAAGCGCGUGUAGGCGGUUCGGUAAGUCCGCUGUGAAAGUCGGGGGCUCAACCCUCGAAAGCCGGUGGAUACUGUCGGGCUCGAGUCCGGAAGAGGCGAGUGGAAUUCCUGGUGUAGCGGUGAAAUGCGCAGAUAUCAGGAGGAACACCAAUGGCGAAGGCAGCUCGCUGGGACGGUACUGACGCUGAGACGCGAAAGCGUGGGGAGCGAACAGG
rnacentral:rRNA from 1 species